rnacentral:misc_RNA from 1 species
AACGCACCUUGCACCCUUUGGUAUUCCGAAGGGUAUGCCUGUUUGAGUGUCAUUAAUAUCAUCAACUGUAGUUCUUUGUGACUACAGCUUGGAUUUGGAGGCUGCUGGCUGCAAAGUCGGCUCUUCUUAAAUGCAUUAGCUGUAUUAGCUGAAUCAGCUUCGGUUUGAUAGAAAUAUCUAUGCUGUCGCUGAGGAACAUUUGUACAGCUUACAAUUGUCUUCGGACUGCUUUUUAAGCAUUUGACUCUUGACCUCAAAUCAGGUAGGACUACCCGCUGAACUUAA